GCGCCCGAAGCCAGUAGGCCGAGGGCACGUCUGCCUGGGCGUCACGCAUCGCGUCGCCCCCCUCCCCCGUGGGGUGGGGCGGAGAUUGGCCCCCCGUGCGCAUCCCCGCGUGCGGUCGGCCCAAAUGCUCGUCCUCCGUCGGCGCACGUCGCGACCAGUGGUGGUUGAACUCUCAACUCGCGUGCUGUCGCGUCACGCUUCGCCGACGGUCCGAAAAUAAGAACCCGACGGUGCGAUCACGAUUUGUGCCCACGACCGCGACCCCGGGUCAGGCGGGAUCACCCGCUGAGUUUAAGCAUAUCAAUAAGCGGAGGAA
rnacentral:rRNA from 1 species